GAUGAACGCUAGCGGCAGGCUUAAUACAUGCAAGUCGAGGGGCAUCAAGGUACACGAAAGUGUAUUGUUGGCGACCGGCGGACGGGUGAGUAAUAGGUAGGUAACCUACCUCAUACUGAGGCAUAGCUGGGAGAAAUUCCAGGUAAUUCCUCAUGAGGUUAUAUGACACAUGUGAUAUAAUCAAAGGUAUCGCAAGGUACUGGUAUGAGAUGGGCUUACUGACCAUUAGCUAGUUGGUGAGAUAAGAGCUCACCAAGGCGAAGAUGGUUAGGGGUUUUGAGAGAGAGAUCCCCCACAUUGGAACUGAGAUACGGUCCAGACUCCUACGGGAGGCAGCAGUAGGGAAUAUUGGGCAAUGGGCGGAAGCCUGACCCAGCCAUGCCGCGUGAAGGAAGACGGCCUUAGUGGGUUUAAAACUUCUUUAACUAUUGCGACUAACUAGAUUUACGAGAUAAUUCUAUAGAAUGUAGCAUAGACGAAAAGCACCC
rnacentral:rRNA from 1 species